UACAGAGGAGCCGAGCGUUGUCCGGAUUUAUUGGGCGUAAAGAGCUCGUAGGCGGCUUGUCGCGUCGUUCGUGAAAACCCGGGGCUCAACUCCGGGCUUGCGGGCGAUACGGGCAGGCUAGAGUUCGGUAGGGGAGACUGGAAUUCCUGGUGUAGCGGUGAAAUGCGCAGAUAUCAGGAGGAACACCGGUGGCGAAGGCGGGUCUCUGGGCCGAUACUGACGCUGAGGAGCGAAAGCGUGGGGAGCGAACAGG
rnacentral:rRNA from 1 species